rnacentral:rRNA from 1 species
UACGUAGGGUGCAAGCGUUGCCCGGAUUCAUUGGGCGUAAAGCGCGCGCAGGCGGCUCCGCACGUCCCGCGUGAAAUCGCCCGGCUCAACCGGGCGGGGUCGCGGGCGACGGCGGGGCUCGAGCGAGGGAGGGGGCAGUGGAAUUCCCGGUGUAGUGGUGGAAUGCGCAGAUAUCAGGAGGAACACCGGUGGCGAAGGCGGGUCUCUGGGCCAUUACUGACGCUGAGGAGCGAAAGCGUGGGGAGCGAACAGG